rnacentral:rRNA from 1 species
AUGGUGGCACUCCCAGCCAAACGUCUCCCGCCGGCAGAGCCUCGUGCUUCCAGAUAUAUAAGGGGCUCCAUCGACCCCAAACCCCCUCCAACUCUACCUCAGACCACUCCGCCACCGGCACCACAGCUUCCAUCGGAUCCCUUCGCCAUGUCGGCCGCCGCGCUCAGGGCUCUACUGAACUCCCAUGUCACUUCAAUGUUCAACACGGGUACGGUGGACGAGUAUUUCCAGUACCUGCAGUCGGUGGAAGAGGACGGCAGCUCAGCGCCGGGCUUGGUUGCCGAGGUCAUCAACCUCUUCAUCGGCGACGCCAACAGCAUCCUCAACGGCAUCGCUGGCCUGCUGAACCAGCCCGUGGUAGAUUUCAACAAGGUGGACGACCUGGUGCAUCAGCUCAAGGGGUGCAGCUGCAGUGUUGGUGCUAAGAAAGUGAACCUCUGCUGUAUGUACUUCCAUCAGUUCAUUGAGUCAAGAAGCAAAGAAGGGUGCCUCAUGGCGUUGUCUCUUCUUAGGAAUGAGUUCUGCGAUGUGUGCAACAAGUUCCAGACCAUGAUGCAGCUGGAGCAGCAGAUCGCAGCCUGUGGUCCUAAGUAG